AUAGAACCGAAGAAAUGUAGGACUGGACUGGACCUCAAAGAGGCUAUCCAGUUCAUUGCCCUACCCUAGGGCAGGAUUACAGUACACCUAGCCCAUCUCUGACAGGUGUUUGUCUGACUUGUUCUUAUAAACCAGGCAAUUUCUUUUUUUAAAGGCAAAUGUGUGUUUGUGUUCCAGUAGAACACAAUCCCCAGACCAGGGUCCUGUACAGAGACAGACACAAAGGAGGGAGUUCCUGAUUCAUGAUUUUCAAAACUGUCUCGUGCUGUUUGGUGGUGCCUUUUUAUUUUUUUUCCAUUUGUACACCUCUUUGGGUACCAGGUGCUUUCUGAAAAUGGGGCCCCUUUAACGUGUCAAGUGGGGAACUUAGAAAUUAAGGCACUCAAAAAUCUCAGAUCACUUGGCAUCGUAUGCCAAAUAGCCAAGUGACCUUUACUGCACCCACGUAACAUAGGAGGGAACUUCUGGCUGCUACAAUAGGGACUCUGUUCUAGUCUUGAGUCUCCUAGAGGCCUAGUGUGUAGCUGUGGGCAGGUCAUUUAUGGCCUGAUUAUUGAAGAGGGGGUAAGCAAAGGCAGCUGCCAAGGUUGUUCCAGGCGUCUUUGAAAGGCCACUCUCCCCUCUCCAUCCGUCCCCCAGCUACAAAACAUGGUGAUGGCAAUGCACGUAGUUAUCGACCAGCAGUGGCGGCAGCUGAGAGUUGGUGGAUGUGAGAGUCUCAAAGGAAAGCUGCUCCUCCCAUGCAAAGUAACAUUUCCAGUGCACACUACACACGUGUUGAGGCUCAGGUGAGAAUUUUUCCAGGCAAACAUCUUCCAUAUAACAGUUUGAUUUGAGACAAUAGUGCUCAUUUUUAAGUUCCCUUUGGUUUUCUGCCUCCCUUUCUCUUUUCCCUUGUACGCUCUUGUGUUCUGUGCUAACCUCCAAGUUCUGAUUUUCCUCCCCCGUGCACUUUUUUUGGGGGGGGGGGGUCGAAAUUCUAUUCCCUGGGUUGUUGCACUGUCCUUAAUUGAGUGACUUGCAUGUGCCUGGAGCGUUAGGGCCAAGGGAACGGAUUGAUUGAAUGCAGGAUGUCGGUUCUCCCUUUCUGCUGCUUUAACCCAUCUGUUGGAAGGAAAUGAAAUAUACACGUGCCUCUCUGCUGUGCUGUGUCAUGCUGGCUCAGCGCUUCACCCUUCCCGUGCUGCUGACGUUGUUCGCUCUCUGGUCAGAUGUCACUGCCACUUCCCAGAUGUUGUUACAUACCAGCUGGGAACAGCUGAAAUCCAUCAAGUGAGAGCCAAGUCCAGAGAGGAAGGUGGCAGCUGAUGCCAGGCACUGAGUCAGCGUUGUGUCUGCAGCUGACAUGGCAGGACCUUGGCUAGCCCGCCCGCCUCCCUGAACAGCCUUGUGGUCGGUGCCGUGGUGCUGCCCAGAGUGGCUACCUCAUCCUCUUGUCUGACAGCUUCCCUACUGAGCCUCUACUCCAGCAUCACUGGUGGCAGGCGCUAAUGUGAAUGGAAAAUCUUCACGCCAGAUGCAGAAGUUCCCAGCAGCUGUUAUGGGGAUGUAAACCCUCAGCGGUAUUUGAACACACUCUGGUUUUGCAGCAAAGCUAUCGGAGCAUCACACCAGUUACCCAAGAGGGAUUUUGGACCGGCUGUAGGGACGUAAGCCUCAUCCCAUGGAAAUCAGUAGCAAAAGUGAGAAAGAUUUCACUUGAAAUAGGUACAUAACUCGGCCUCUUUUUCUGCGAGGCUCUCAAAGUGUUGAAGCAAUAGAUUACACUCAGUCUGUUACUCUCUGUAAUGGGGUGGCUGGCCCAUAGGUCGGAGCCCGCAAGCUAAACCAGCCCUGAUGAGCCCCACCUGAGAGGAAUCAGGUGAUUCCCCAUAUAAAAGGCAGCAGGAUUCCCCAGGAAGGGGAUGGUUGAAAAAGUGUGUGAGAGGCGGGAGGAAGCUUGGUACGAAGCUGGGGCUGCUCAAGUAAAAGAAACCCAGGAAGUGUAGGUAGGUUGACGAAAGAGCUGCAGGGUGUAGGACUGGCUCCUGCAGAACGGACAGAGAGACGCUAAGCUGAGUUGGGGCCUGCGUGGGGCUGGCGUGUACCUGAGGACUGACUAAACGGGACAUCUGAGUUUUCCUUUGGACUGUGUGGGGGUUGUUUAAGGUGCCCAGGGAAGGAGAAAGCAGGGUGGGGCCCUGCAGAGGUACCCCUGGUGAUUGGGGGGCACUCAGUAAGUGGGUGCUGUUCUAGACUGGCAAAGGUCAGAUUGGAAAGUGGCUGCUGAGCUCUUUUGAAAAACCAGCCCUAAAACAUGUGGCUGGAUGGGCUGAGGCUCCGGGGGCUGUGGGUUCUGGCAGAUGGCAGGGGGUCUUGGUUGUCCUAUAGAUCUGUAAUUUGUGUCCUAAAUACUAUAGUUUAGCUUGUGUGAAACCUCCAUAGAAUUGAAAGAGAAAUAAUAUUGUGACUCUCCUGGAGCACUUUGGGUGCCCUAGAAAUAUAAAUGAUUCUCUAGCAGGGCUUUAUUUUCACAAUCCUAGUACAAUCUACACCAUCUUUCCGGCAUCUAGCUUAGAUUAGCCCCUGCAAUAGAGUUCUGCUUUCGUUCCUGUCGACUGCAGUGAGCCAAAUUCAGCUAUAUUUGCCACUGAGAAGCUUAGCGCUGUACUGCUAUUUUUAUAGCCAUAGUUUAGCUUAGCAUAAAUAAGGACAGAAAAACCUGCAGGAUACACAAGGAUGAGUUGGCACAACAAUCCUGUCCUUUCUAAUUAGAUUUCAAUUUAUGCUUCGCAGCACCAGCACUGCUGUUGUCUUCCUAAAUGGUCACUCGGAGGGCAGCAAACUAAUAACAUCUACUGAGCUUUUUUUAAAAAAAGAACGAGACAGAAUAAUACAAAGGAGGGCAAGAUAUUGCUUUUUUUUUUUUAAUGUUCCUGUAUUGUACUUAUUGUAUUUGCUAGUUUCAAUUGACGCCAGCCCCAUCAGUCACCAGGGAAAGAUGUGAAGAUGCCUGUGUGCAAAUAUGAGUGGCAUUCAGACUCAUUCAAACCUUAGCCAUUCUCCUAAAUGGAAAUCUUGCUCUUUGGUGAUAAUAUCACCGGCUGGAGAGAACCAGUUCAGGGAACCUGAAUUAUUGAGCUGAAUGUAGGAGUCACUGGGUGAAAUUGUAGGUGCAAGGUCAGGCUCGAUCAUCAUAAUGGGCCUUUCUGGGUGUAGGCCCUGAUUCUGCCAAGCUUUUAGCCACAUGCUUAACCUCUGUCCCUGUUCUGCAAAGCACUUAACUUUAGGCACGUGUUUAACUUCUAAAGAAAGUCACGGGCAUGUUUAAAUGCUUUGCUGAACCAGGCCCCUGAAAAUCUGUUCUGUGAUAGCUGUGUGAAAGCUGUGUGAAAUGUAUCUUCCCAAGCAGCUUGUGCGUGGUUUUCUUUUUUUUUUUUAAGUAAUAUUGAAUUAUUUUAAAGUCAAUAAAAAUAGCCCCGUCA